rnacentral:tRNA from 1 species
GGAAGCGUGCCCGAAAGAUAAGGACCUCCUUGAUAGGGAGAC